CGACCGGCGCACGGGUGAGUAACGCGUAUGCAACCUGCCUGAUACCGGGGUAUAGCCCAUGGAAACGUGGAUUAACACCCCAUAGUACUUUUAUCCUGCAUGGGAUGUGAGUUAAAUGUUCAAGGUAUCGGAUGGGCAUGCGUCCUAUUAGUUAGUUGGCGGGGUAACAGCCCACCAAGACGAUGUAGGUAGGGGUUCUGAGAGGAAGGUCCCCCACAUUGGAACUGAGACACGGUCCAA
rnacentral:rRNA from 1 species